rfam:Clunio marinus genome assembly, contig: CLTMA_scaffold_017447
CAAUAUAACUUGUUAUAUUUUGAAAUUUUAGUGAGUAGGAAGGUAUUAUGGUAUGCGUUGGAGUAUCUAGCGUGAGCUGAUAUGGAGCUUCCAUAAGCACAGAUCUUGGUGGUAGUAGCAAAUAUUCGAAUGA